rnacentral:lncRNA from 1 species
AUAGCACCGUCCAUUUGGGCAGCACCAGUAAUCAUAUUCUUGACAUAAUCAGCGUGACCGGGGCAAUCCACAUGGGCGUAAUGACGGUUCUCAGUCUCGUACUCAACAGUAGCAGUGUUAAUAGUAAUACCACGAGCACGCUCUUCUGGGGCGGCAUCAAUUUCGUCGUACUUCUUAGGGGCGGAGUUUCCCAUAGAAGCAAGAGCCAUGGUUAAAGCAGCGGUGAGAGUAGUCUUUCCGUGGUCAACAUGGCCAAUAGUACCGAUGUUGACAUGGGGCUUUUUCCGCUCGAAUUUGCCACGGGCAGCGCGAGUUGACAUGGGGUUUUUUCCGCUCGAAUUUGCCACGGGCAGCGCGGACAGUAAAACGGCGGUGGCGGUGGGUGGCAGUAGAAGAAGGGGUGGCGGGUGAGUGGAGGAAAAGGGUGGAACAAUUAGGGGUAAAGGAAGAGGAUAGGAUAAGCUUAGAGGGUUUAGUGGAGGAAGGAAGAAGAGGAUUGGUGGAGUUGGAGGAUACAAGCUUAGUAGAGGAGGUGGCGGUGGCUGCUGAAAUUGAAGCCAUGGCCGGAGAUUGAAGUUGGGGGAGAAAAGGGGAGCAAGGAUAGAGUGAGUGAGAAUUGGGAUUUGAAAGAGAUGAGGAGAAGGGGAUAAUAGUGUUAUAUCCCUUGUAAGGAAAAAAUAGGGCCGCUCAUAUACUCAUUUUUUGGGGAUUUUUC